CAACACUGUCACACACUCUAGAACAUUCUAACUGUUUUGUUCAGAGCUUCAGCAAGAAGAUGAAUCUAAGUUAUUGUAUUUUAAUGGUACUAGUUUCAUAUACAUAUGGACAGCCACUGACCUCCUCUGAAUCAGUGGUGGAGAAACCUGGGAAAUCGGUCACUCUGUCCUGUUCUGUGUCUGGUAUCUCAAUGAGUGGCUACUACAUGCACUGGAUCCGUCAGAAACCUGGGAAAGGACUGGAGUGGAUUGGUUACAUUAGUACUGGCACUAGCACUGGCUUUGCCCAGUCACUACAGGGCCAGUUCUCCAUCACUAAAGACACCAGUAAAAACAUGCUGUACCUGCAGGUGAAGAGCCUGAAAGCUGAAGACACGGCUGUUUAUUACUGUGCGCGGAUCAUAUCUAAGUACAUCCAACCCUUUGAUCAGUAUCUGUCUGGCUUAUUAAGCACAUUUGUAAACUUCUCAGACCAUCUGAGUACAAAAGACCAUUUCUGA